rfam:Exophiala oligosperma strain CBS 72588 unplaced genomic scaffold supercont1.13, whole genome shotgun sequence.
UUGGAGCGGGACGAGCUAUUGCAGAAUCCAUUUCUUGCCUUUUACCAGAGAUGGCCGUGGCUACGCCCAACAUGCUCCAUUUAUCAAUCUUUGGACAUCAUAUUUCGCAAAUGCUC